GGGGAGGUUAUGGUCAACGCGAAACCCAAACAAACCAAAAACGCUUCAAGCAGAAGCCAGAAAGAAUCCUGACCGUCUGAAGUGAGUGUCAAAACAAUGGGAUCUGCAAUCUCUCUGUCAGAGGCCAACAGUGCUUUCUCUCUGGCUUUGCUCAAACAGCUGAGCAACAACAACAAGACGGGAAACAUCUUUUUCUCCCCGUUCAGCAUCUCUUCAGCCCUGGCUAUGGUGAUGCUGGGGGCCAGAGGCAACACAGCCACACAGAUGUCAGAGUGCUUGCAAACCGAGGAUUGUUGGGU